CGGAGGGUGCAAGCGUUAUCCGGAUUCACUGGGUUUAAAGGGUGCGUAGGUGGGUUGGUAAGUCAGUGGUGAAAUCUCCGGGCUUAACUCGGAAACUGCCAUUGAUACUAUCAAUCUUGAAUAUCGCGUAGGUAAGCGGAAUAUGUCAUGUAGCGGUGAAAUGCUUAGAUAUGACAUAGAACACCAAUUGCGAAGGCAGCUUACUUCACGAUCAUUGACACUGAGGCACGAAAGCGUGGGGAGCAAACAGGA
rnacentral:rRNA from 1 species